GGCUCUGUGGCACAAUGGACAGCGCAUUGGACUUCUAAUUCAAAGGUUGUGGGUUCGAGUCCCACCAGAGUCA